rnacentral:rRNA from 1 species
CGGUGUUCAACUGGCGUGUCCGCGGGACGUCCUGCCGGUGGGCUUAGCCCGCAAGGGCGGCCCAACUUCAAAUCCCAUCGCGGUGCUCUUCACUGAGUGUCGAGGUGGGCCGGCACGUUUACUUUGAACAAAUUAGAGUGCUUAAAGCAGGCUAAAACUUCGCCUGAAUACUGUGUGCAUGGAAUAAUGGAAUAGGACCUCGGUUCUAUUUUGUUGGUUUUCGGAACCCCGAGGUAAUGAUUAAUAGGAACGGAUGGGGGCAUUCGUAUUGCGACGUUAGAGGUGAAAUUCUUGGAUCGUCGCAAGACGGGCAGAAGCGAAAGCAUUUGCCAAAAACGCUUUCAUUGAUCAAGAACGAAAGUUAGAGGUUCGAAGGCGAUCAGAUACCGCCCUAGUUCUAACCAUAAACGAUGCCAGCUAGCGAUCCGUCGACGUUCCUCCGAUGACUCGACGGGCAGCUUCCGGGAAACCAAAGCUUUUGGGUUCCGGGGGAAGUAUGGUUGCAAAGCUGAAACUUAAAGGAAUUGACGGAAGGGCACCACCAGGAGUGGAGCCUGCGGCUUAAUUUGACUCAACACGGGAAACCUCACCAGGCCCGGACACCGGAAGGAUUGACAGAUUGAGAGCUCUUUCUUGAUUCGGUGGGUGGUGGUGCAUGGGCCGUUCUUAGUUGGUGGAGCGAUUUGUCUGGUUAAUUCCGAUAACGAACGAGACUCUAGCCUGCUAACUAGGCGUAUUUUCGACAUCUCAAAGGUCCGUCGUCCCGGCCCUCGGGUCGUGGGCGUGCGCGAUUUUUACUGUCGGCGUACUAUCAAUUCUUCUUAGAGGGACAGGUGGCUUCUAGCCGCACGAGAUUGAGCAAUAACAGGUCUGUGAUG